rnacentral:rRNA from 1 species
GAGAAACUGCGUUCGAAACUACCAAACUUGAGUACUGGAGAGGUAUGCGGAAUUCCUGGUGUAGCGGUGGAAUGCGUGGAUAUCAGGAAGAACACCGGUGGCGAAGGCGGCAUACUGGCCAAGUACUGACGCUAAGGUGCGAAAGCGUGGGGAGCAAACGGGAUUAGAUACCCCGGUAGUCCACGCUGUAAACGAUGGGUACUAGGUUUUGGGGGUCUCAACCCCUUCAGAGCCGCAGCUAACGCAUUAAGUACCCCGCCUGGGGAGUACGGUCGCAAGGCUGAAACUCAAGGGAAUUGACGGGGGCCCGCACAAGCGGUGGAGCAUGUGCUUUAAUUCGAAGCAACGCGAAGAACCUUACCAGGAUAUGACAUGUGAGCUUCGACCUUCGGGAAGAGGUUAAUCUUGUGAAAGCAGGACGAAUCACACAGGUGCUGCAUGGCUGUCGUCAGCUCGUGUCGUGAGAUGUUGGGUUAAGUCCCGCAACGAGCGCAACCCUUGCUGUUAGUUACCAUCGGGUAAUGCCGGGGACUCUAGCAGGACUGCCGGUGAUAAACCGGAGGAAGGGGGGAAUAAUGUCAAGUCAUUAUGGCCCUUUACACCCUGGGCUAA